rnacentral:rRNA from 1 species
AUUGAACGCUGGCGGCAUGCCUUACACAUGCAAGUCGAACGGUAACAGGUCUUCGGAUGCUGACGAGUGGCGAACGGGUGAGUAAUACAUCGGAACGUGCCUAGUAGUGGGGGAUAACUACUCGAAAGAGUGGCUAAUACCGCAUGAGAUCUACGGAUGAAAGCAGGGGAUCGCAAGACCUUGUGCUACUAGAGCGGCCGAUGGCAGAUUAGGUAGUUGGUGGGAUAAAAGCUUACCAAGCCGACGAUCUGUAGCGGGUCUGAGAGGACCAGCAGGCACACUGGGACUGGGACACGGCCAAGACGCCUGGGGGAGGCAGCAGCGGGGAAUUUUGGACAAUGGGCGAAAGCCUGUUCCAGAAAUGCAGCGUGCAGGAUGAAGGCCUUCGGGUUGUAAACUGCUUUUGUACGGAACGAAAAGCCCCGGGUUAAUACCCUGGGGUCAUGACGGUACCCUAAGAAUAAGCACCGGCUAACUACGUGCCAGCCGCCGCAGUAA